GUAUCACUCAGGUGCUGGCUCCUUUGGUGUAUUCUCCUGUGUUUUGGAUGGAGUGGAGAGACAACAGAGCCACAGAGCUGCCUACAGGUUUGUCCCUCGUCAUUCAGAUGAGCUGUACCUAGAAACGGAUGACCCGGUGCUGCUGCUGAAGCAGUCUGAGGACCUGUGGUGUCAGGGCUACAACAUGAGGACCGGGGCUACCGGCAUCUUCCCUGCCUUCUACGCCGUCAGGCUGCCCACAAACACUAUCCAAGCUGCGAAGGAUAGCUCGAUAGAGAAGUUCCUGGUGCGAUUCCUGGGUUCGGUGCAGGUCCCCAUCCACAAAGGCACCGACAUGCUUUCUUCUGCGAUGCAGAAGGUACGUACAGGC